UACGUGGGGUGCAAGCGUUGUCCGGAAUUAUUGGGCGUAAAGGGCUCGUAGGCGGUUUGUCGCGUUGUCUGUGAAAACUCGGGGCUCAACCCCGAGCCUGCAGUCGAUACGGGCAAACUAGAGUGUGGUAGGGGAGACUGGAAUUCCUGGUGUAGCGGUGAAAUGCGCAGAUAUCAGGAGGAACACCGGUGGCGAAGGCGGUUCUCUGGGCCUGUACUGACGCUGAGGAGCGAAAGCGUGGGGAGCGAACAGG
rnacentral:rRNA from 1 species